UUAGAGUUUGAUCCUGGCUCAGGACGAACGCUGGCGGCGUGCCUAAUACAUGCAAGUCGAACGAGGCUUUUUGAUUGAUGCUUGCAUCAGCUAAAAAGCCGAGUGGCGAAUGGGUGAGUAACACGUGGGUAACCUGCCUUGAAGCGGGGGAUAACAUUUGGAAACAGAUGCUAAUACCGCAUAACCACAAAAACCUCCUGGUUUUUGUGUCAAAGAUGGUUCUGCUAUCACUUCAAGAUGGACCCGCGGCGUAUUAGCUUGUUGGUGAGGUAACGGCUCACCAAGGCAAUGAUACGUAGCCGAACUGAGAGGUUGAUCGGCCACAUUGGGACUGAGACACGGCCCAAACUCCUACGGGAGGCAGCAGUAGGGAAUCUUCCACAAUGGACGCAAGUCUGAUGGAGCAACGCCGCGUGAGUGAAGAAGGUCUUCGGAUCGUAAAACUCUGUUGUCAGAGAAGAACGUGCGUGAGAGCAACUGUUCAUGCAGUAACGGUAUCUGACCAGAAAGUCACGGCUAACUACGUGCCAGCAGCCGCGGUAAUACGUAGGUGGCAAGCGUUGUCCGGAUUUAUUGGGCGUAAAGGGAACGCAGGCGGUCUUUUAAGUCUGAUGUGAAAGCCUUCGGCUUAACCGAAGUCGUGCAUUGGAAACUGGGGGACUUGAGUGCAGAAAAGGAAAGUGGAACUCCAUGUGUAGCGGUGAAAUGCGUAGAUAUAUGGAAAAACACCAGUGGCGAAAGCGGCUCUCUGGUCUGUAACUGACGCUGAGGUUCGAAACCUUGGGUAGCAAACAGGAUUAAAUACCCUGGUAGUCCACCCCGUAAACGAUGAAUGCUAAUUUUUGGAAGGUUUCCCCCCUUCAUUGCCCCACCUAACGCAUUAAGCAUUCCCCCUGGGGAGUACGAUCCCAAAAUUGAACUCCAAGGAAUUUACGGGGGCCCC
rnacentral:rRNA from 1 species